rnacentral:rRNA from 1 species
UACGUAGGGGGCUAGCGUUGUCCGGAAUCAUUGGGCGUAAAGCGCGUGUAGGCGGCCCGGUAAGUCCGCUGUGAAAGUCGGGGGGCUCAACCCUCGAAUGCCGGUGGAUACUGUCGGGCUAGAGUGCGGAAGAGGCGAGUGGAAUUCCUGGUGUAGCGGUGAAAUGCGCAGAUAUCAGGAGGAACACCGGUGGCGAAGGCGGCUUGCUGGGCCAGUUCUGACGCUGAGGGGGCGAAAAGCGUGGGGGAGCGAACAGG